rnacentral:rRNA from 1 species
AGCCGGGGCUUCUUCUCCGGCUACCGUCAUUAUCUUCACCGGUGAAAGAGUUUUACAACCCUAAGGCCUUCUUCACUCACGCGGCAUGGCUGCAUCAGGCUUUCGCCCAUUGUGCAAUAUUCCC